CAAGAAACGUUGGAAUAAGGUAUACUUUUUGUAAACUAUGCAGAACUGAUUUUAACGGUGGGACAGGGGAGCAAGAACGCUGUUUGUGUGGAAGCCCAGUGAUUGCAGGGUACACUUCAGCCCCCAGGCCUGCUCCCUUGAGAUCGUACAGCCAGAAGUAAGAAGUCCUGCCCGGAUUUCCUUUUCUGCAGCACCAGACGAAGGAGGGUGAUGGAGAAAACCAUGGCAACUAAAAACACAGCAACCCAAAUCGGGGUCCACACACCC